AGUCAAGUAAUUAAGUGCAUGUGGUGGAUGCCUUGGCAGUCAGAGGCGAUGAAAGACGUGAUAGCCUGCGAAAAGCUCCGG
rnacentral:rRNA from 1 species